AAGUGCCUUAGAUAGGAUUGACAGAUAUGGGAAACCCUUGUUAUACAGAAUGACCUUAUGCAAGCCAACAGGGUCUACCCCAAUGAAGCUCACCUUAAACAUAGAACAUCCCAGCCCAGGAUACGCUGGGGAGUACGUAAUGGGAAUGUAUUGGAAAGGGGGUGGCUCAUACAACAAGUUGGGGAGCUUCUAUUUACAAGACAUGCUUACGUCACCUGACUGGGUAGACUCCACACACAUGACCAUUAACCCUCUAAAACC